rnacentral:lncRNA from 1 species
UUAAACAUUUGGUAUUUAUUGGGGACUCUGCCUUAAGCUAGAUACUGCCCUAGACGAUUUAGGGGACGUAAACAGAAUUAAGAGUCGGCAUUUAUCUUUGAUGAGUUUUCAGUCUAGUUAGCAGACUCUAGUAGAAACUGUCUUGUUCAUCUUGGUUGCCCGGCGCCUGACUCAGUGCUUGGCACAAAGCAAGCACUCAGUAAACAUUUGUUGUAAAUUCACGUGUCUGGGCUAGAAGGGUUGCUUCAGACUGGUCAUUCUUUGUCUACCCCUCCAAAUCUGCCAGCCCAGCAAACUCAGCUCCACAGAAUUACUCCCAGUGAUCCGACAAACUAUUACAGUUAGCCAGGAACAAAAGCCACUAGGAAAAUAAUGCAUCACUUUUCAUCUGGAUGUUUCCAAAGGAACUGAAGUAUUAAAGUCACAGUUAUCCCAAUCAGAUCAUCUUUUCAAAGGAAUUACAGGGUUGUGAGCCAACAGCAACCACAUACACCUUUGCAGUAAUCAGAACCAGCGUUCUCGAUGCUGAAAGCAAAAUCAAGUAAACAAGGUUGUGUUGUGGACUUCCUUGACCCAGACUUUCAGGAAGGAGCUGACACACUGCCCAGACUUGCGCUCACCCACAUCGCUCAGAAGCCAAACAAACUCGAGAAGCUCGUGUUUUCCCAGCUGUAUGAUGCACUCACUUCACCAAGUGACUGGCCAGAAAACAAGAAAAAGAAAAAAGAAAAAUCCCUCGUUCAGACCAGUCAGGGGAAUAAUUGCUUCAGCUGGCCUUUACUUUUUAUUUUCAUGAAGUAUCAAGAAAUCUAAAAAUGGAGGAAGUUAGAUCUAUGACUUUUAGUCACUGAAAAGGAAAGAAAAUAUUAUUUUUUCUUUUAGAGAGCUGAUCGUGUUAUUACUCUGCCUUAAAACUGCAGUGGCUUUCUAUCUUAUAAUCUUCAAACCCCUUGGUAUCCCUUCCAGGUCUUUCAUAACUUGUUUAAAACAAUCUUUCUAGCCACAUCUGCCUCCUUUCCUCCCACUGAAAGCUGUUCUUGAGCUUUGCCAGGCUCCCAUGGUCUUAAAUACUGCAUGUGCUUUCUUGCAUACACGCUUUUUUGUUCAUGCUAUUCCUUUUGCUUGGAAUACCCUUCCUUGCCUUGAUCACUAGGAGAACUGCAACUCAUCCUUCAAGACCAGUUCAAAUGGCACUGUUACUCAACCCAACAGCAGAUUUAGCUUCUCCUUCAUCUGUCUCCCCUUAGGACUACUUUGUGUGUAUCUCUUACUGCACUUGUUCUUUAUAUCAUUCAUCCACUCAUUCAAUAACACUCAUUGUCUUUGCACUUUGUACCAGAUACUAUGUGAGGUGCUGAGGAUCCAGGUGUAAAAGUUCCUAUCUAGUGGGGCAUGCAGGUAAGCAAAUUGAUUGUUAUGAGACAGAAUUGUGUUUUUGGUAAAGAUAAGCACAGGUUGCUUUGGAAAAUCAGAGGAGGGUCACAUACCCCAGUCUGAUUGGAGGGAGAGAAUCCAAAGGGCUUCUUGGAGGAGAUGACACCUGAACAGUCUAG